rnacentral:rRNA from 1 species
GAUGAACGCUGGCGGCGUACCUAAUACAUGCAAGUCGAGCGAACAGACGAGGAGCUUGCUCCUCUGACGUUAGCGGCGGACGGGUGAGUAACACGUGGAUAACCUACCUUUAAGACUGGGAUAACUUCGGGAAACCGGAGCUAAUACCGGAUAAUAUAUUGAACCGCAUGGUUCAAUAGUGAAAGACGGUUUUGCUGUCACUUAUAGAUGGAUCCGCGCCGCAUUAGCUAGUUGGUAAGGUAACGGCUUACCAAGGCGACGAUGCGUAGCCGACCUGAGAGGGUGAUCGGCCACACUGGAACUGAGACACGGUCCAGACUCCUACGGGAGGCAGCAGUAGGGAAUCUUCCGCAAUGGGCGAAAGCCUGACGGAGCAACGCCGCGUGAGUGAUGAAGGUCUUCGGAUCGUAAAACUCUGUUAUUAGGGAAGAACAAAUGUGUAAGUAACUAUGCACGUCUUGACGGUACCUAAUCAGAAAGCCACGGCUAACUACGUG